rnacentral:rRNA from 1 species
UACAGGGGGUGCAAACGUUGCUCGGAAUUAUUGGGCGUAAAGCGCGCGUAGGCGGCCACUUAAGUCGGAUGUGAAAGCCCCUGGCUCAACUGGGGAAGUGCACCCGAAACUGAAUGGCUUGAGUGCGAAAGAGGGUCGCGGAAUUCCCGGUGUAGAGGUGAAAUUCGUAGAUAUCGGGAGGAACACCGGUGGCGAAGGCGGCGACCUGGGUCGACACUGACGCUGAGGCGCGAAAGCGUGGGGAGCAAACAGGAUUAGAUACCCUGGUAGUCCACGCCGUAAACGAUGGGUGCUAGAUGUUUCUGGUAUUGACCCCGGAGGCGUCGUAGCUAACGCGUUAAGCACCCCGCCUGGGAAGUACGGCCGCAAGGCUAAA